UACGUAGGGGGCAAGCGUUGUCCGGAUUUAUUGGGCGUAAAGAGCGUGUAGGCGGCUUUACAGGUCCGUUGUGAAAACUCGAGGCUCAACCUCGAGACGCCGGUGGAAACCGUAAGGCUAGAGUCCGGAAGAGGAGAGUGGAAUUCCUGGUGUAGCGGUGAAAUGCGUAGAUACUGGGAGGAACACCAGUGGCGAAGGCGGCUACCUGGACCGGUACUGACGCUGAGGCGCGAAAGCGUGGUUAGCAAACAGG
rnacentral:rRNA from 1 species